AUAUAAAACUUCACCCACGAAAGUUUGCCCUGAGCCUCUCUUCGCAGCAGGCCGCCAUCAACCAGAGCCUUGUAGCUGAGCCAUCCCUCUCCUCUGUUGUCCGCUGCACUCAGCCUCCUCUUCUUCCGUCCUCGUCAACCUUCCAGCAUCCCUCUUCACAGAGCCUCCUCACCUGCUUCACCAUGUACCUCUCUCCUCUCUUUCUCUCUCUUUCCCUCUCUUUCCAUUUCUAGAAAAUGGCUUUCUUUCUCAUCUCUCUCUGCAGAACUACUUUAUUCUCUCUCCAUCUAGCUGUGUAGCCCUAAAUCUCUUUCUCUCUCUAUCACCAACCUCCCAUCCGUCAUUGACAUCAGAGCUCCAGGUUCUGCAAAACCGACAUUCUCCAGUCAAGAUGCAGUGACAGCAAACGAAUUGAUAAAAGAGCUUAUUGAUUGGAAAAUUAUUCAGGAUGAAAAUGGAAUAGGGCACCAAAUAAAUCAAAAUUACACAAAGAAGCUAUCGGUGUCACCUCCAGUGGUGUGAAACCCAUCUUCCCAGCAGUUGCAGCCAUGGCAUCAUCAUCCUUCUUCUCUUUCUCUCGAAUUCCAGCCUAUCUUUCUCGCACUACCCUAAAAAGGCGUUUUCUCUCUUCUCGCUGCUCUCCUUUCGUCCGACCUCCUGAUGUGGCUCAGUUAGCAGAGAGUGCUCGAAUUUCACUUACCGCAAAUGAGAUUGAAGAGUUUGGUCCCAAAAUCAAACAAGUCAUAGACUGGUUUGGACAACUUCAAGCUGUUAAUCUUGAAAGCAUUGAACCUGCACUUCGAGCUGACAAGUACGGAAUCUAAUCUUUUCAUACUGGAAGCAGCAGUGAUAAUUGAAGAUACCAGAUAUGGUUCUGGAUAUGAUGCAUGGGGAUAUGAGUUUGUAUUUCUCAAAAUCAGGGACACUGAUACUAGUGUCCUGUCAUGUACGUCUAUAAAUAUAAUCUUGCGUAUUACAUAAAGAUAUGCAUCCAGCACAUCAAUACACAUACCAUAUAUUAGUGCAUACUUUUGCAUUUGGUCAUAAUCUUUUUUUAGAAGUAUCUCAUUUUGUAUUUGCUAGUGUCCUAGCAGAAUCCUGUAUCAGUAUUGAUGAUAACAUGAUACGAAACCUGCAUAUUAAACAUGUACACGUCUCCCGGCAUCGCAAGUAAUAAGUAUGGUAAGAAGAAAGCCAUGACUUUGGUUUGGUAGGUGUAAGAUGCGCAUUUCGUGUUGAAAUCUGCAACUGACAUGUCCUUGGAAGAGUUAAGACACUUAAUUAAAAGUACACGAAGUUUUUAGAUGUUUGAGUGGAGUGGUGAUUCUUGGGCAUGAUCAAACUCCUAAUGCAUUUUGGACAUCAACAAUCUCUUUGAUGCCUGAAUAAGAUUGGGUUUUAUGCCUUUGUAUGAGUGAAAUUUGUUUUCUGGACUCAAUUGGAACAUCUGUUGAGACAGUAUAUUUUGUCUCUAUCCCACAUAUGGAGCUUUGUCUCCAUCUCACAUAUGGAGCCUGAUAACUCCUAGUUGUUCGAAACUUAGAUUGCCAUAAUGAUUUCAGCACAUGGUCCACUAUCGCUUUGUCCCAUGCAUUGUCGUAGAUGCUGCAUGUUAUCCAAGACUAUAUGAUCUGUUUUGGUUGAAGUAUUCGUAGAUAUUAAUAUAUUAUUGCCACAGAUAGGUGCACAUAGAAGUGGAUAUUUGGUUUGACUUAAAUGAACACUAUUUUGCAUAUGAGGUGCAGUUACUUUCAUUUUCCUCAUUAUGGAUAACUUGUUGAAACCUUGAUGCACUUGUGUGCGACCUAACCUGGCAUCUCAUGUUGCACAGAUCUUAAACUUAUUAAAUGUAUGCUUUGAGAAGGCCUUAUCUGAUUGUUAUCUGCCUUACCUAAAUUGGUGAUCGUAGUUUGUUAUAGUUGUAGCAAUGCUGAUGUAGGCCUGAUUGUGUCUUUGGGCUUCUCUUGUAUCUUGUAGUAUGCCUCCUGCCAUUUCCAAAUGUUGAGACGAAUUUUGCUCUAUGAGGCUCCCUGCUUUUGAGAGUAUGCGUCCUGCCAUUUCCAAAUGUUGAGAUAGAUUUUGCGCUAUGAGGCUCCCUGCUUUUGAGAGUAUGCGUCCUGCCAUUUCCAAAUGUUGAGAUAGAUUUUGCGCUAUGAGGCUCCCUGCUUUUGAGAUUAUCAUGUUAGUUUAAGCUUGUGUAACAUCUAGUUCUGUUUUCAACAACGUGAGAGUUGCAUAGUUUGCUAAUUCAGUAGUUUCUUAAUACCAGUUAAAGGCCUAGUGAAUGAUUGGUCAUGUGGGGUUGUAGGCUCAUUCUGUUAUAUGGUUCAGUCUUUCGGUUGGUUGGCAUCAAGUGUGUGACUAAAUGAUUCAGAAUCCUAUUUGCCCAAGUGAAAUCAAAUAGCACUGGCUAAUAUAUAAUAUUGCAGUUCUGGAAACCUGAGGGUUAUGUGCAUGGAUACCGGAGGAAGUGACAAUACACGAGCAGAUGAACCUGAAAUUUUUGGAAACAGAGAGGCAAUGAUAGCAGCAGUUUCAAGCUACAGCGAGCCAUUUAUCAAAGUUCCCAAAGUCUUGAACAAGGAAUAAUGUUUUAAAGGGUGCUCUCACCCCAAAAAUCUUAGGGCUUCAUGUCGACUUGUCAUUCUUUUGCUGAUCUCCUAAGAAAUUUUACAUUACCUGCAAAAUUGCCAAAGAAUUUGUACAUUGAUGGAUUGAUGAAAAUUCAUUUCAUCCAUGGGUACCUGAUGCAGGACUUUAUUCAUAUGAACAACACCAUAAAAUAUGAUUAAAAUGACUUAGAAACCCAUAUUCAUGUCAUUAAACUUGAAAGGGCUA